rnacentral:rRNA from 1 species
UAAAGAAACCCCGGCUAACUCCGUGCCAGCAGCCGCGGUAAUACGGAGGGGGUUAGCGUUGUUCGGAAUUACUGGGCGUAAAGCGCACGUAGGCGGACUGGAAAGUUGGGGGUGAAAUCCCGGGGCUCAACCUCGGAACUGCCUCCAAAACUAUCAGUCUAGAGUUCGAGAGAGUGGAGUGGAAUUCCAAGUGUAGAGGUGAAAUUCGUAGAUAUUUGGAGGAACACCAGUGGCGAAGGCGGCUCACUGGCUCGAUACUGACGCUGAGGUGCGAAAGUGUGGGGAGCAAACAGGAUUAGAUACCCUGGUAGUCCACACCGUAAACGAUGAAUGCCAGUCGUCGGCAAGUAUACUUGUCGGUGACACACCUAACGGAUUAAGCAUUCCGCCUGGGGAGUACGGUCGCAAGAUUAAAACUCAAAGGAAUUGACGGGGGCCCGCACAAGCGGUGGAGCAUGUGGUUUAAUUCGAAGC